GCGUGAAAGCAGCCCGUAGCCUGUCGGGCUCAUAACCCGAAGGUCGUCGGUUCAAAUCCGCCCCCGCA
rnacentral:tRNA from 1 species